rnacentral:lncRNA from 1 species
CCUUCAUCAGAAGGUUUUGCCAAGGUGGUGGAACUAGGUGUCUUCGUGUAGCAGACUUGUUUACACUUUUAAUGUGACUGUGAUCCUUUAAGCAUCUCUCAGCUAUGUUGCAAUUUUAAUCUGAAGUGCAGAUAUUAGUUGUAUAAAAAUCCUAUUGGCGAUUUAAUUGUAGCUAUUCUGACAGCUGAAGGAUGUGAGGUUCACCUAGUGCACUGUGGUAUGCACUUCAAGUGCAGUAGUAUCAGAAUCAGAACCCAGUUAUCUGAUUACCAUAUUUAUAUAUCAUGUACACACACACACACACAUAUAUAUAUACACAUUUAUAUGUAUAUAUAUAUAUAUAUAUAUAUAUAUAUAUAUAUACACAUAUAUGCAUACAAUAUACAUGGGUAUAUAUGUAAAUCUGGAUAUAUAUAUACAUAUAUAUACACAUAUAUAUAUACACACACAUAUACAUAGAGAAAUCAUGUGUAUGCAUAUGGGGUGUGUGUGUGUAUUUGACUAUAUCCUGUGCAUACCAUUGAAUUGAAAUUCAUUGUUGAUUUUUAUUUUAUUUUGGACUAAGUUGUUAUUAUCUAGAUAUAUUUUCCUAAAAGUGCCUUUGCUGAGAUUUCAAAGGUAUGCAAUUUUAUUUUGGAGUCAGGACUUCUAGAUAGAAGAGGUGAGGGGCAUAGUAAAUCUUCUACACCAAAAGAAAUGUCAACUCUUAAACCCACCAAAGCUUAAAAAAGAAAAAACCCUACUGAACCUUGGGUAUGAAUUGUGGAAAUCUAAUGCAUUUUAGCCCGAGGAUGCUUCUGUUCACCCCAUCCAUAUGACCCAUUGUGUUGGUGAAGAUGUUCUAAUAAAUAACAAGUUGAGACAACCAGCAACUUUCCUGCUGGAGGGAGAUGACUUGGUUUGGAACAGAGAUGAAAUAUCUCAUCCCUAAGUGUUACUGAAAACAACAUGAUCUGAGGAAAACAAACAAGAAAGACCAACAUGACAACCAGCCUACAGCUGUGAUCCUGUUAAGGGAAGAAAGUUAACUGGGAGAGAGCCAAGGAAGGAGGCACUCAUCCUGGGCCACGAUAAGAUCCAAGAUAUCUCUGGUCAUCAGAAAGGCUGUGUGUACAUGCAAGGCUAUGUAUGCCUCAGGAAAAGAACCUACGUACGUGCUUCUGUCUGAUCUCUGGUUGAGAGGUUUUACACACUAAGAAAGUAAAAGCCAAGUCAGUUUUGUAAACUACCUGAACUUUAAAUGCAUUUCUCAGUCCCUACACAGAUGCAUUAUCAAAUAUUAAAAGCAUUACUUGCUCAAGGUUUUAGAAUACAACCUCUGGCCAAUCAUAAAUUGGUCACUAAACUAUUCCAGGGCAAUCUACAUGAAGCCAGGCUCAACAAAUGAAUGCAGCAACAACAAUAAAAAUCCGAGCAAAGACUUGGUAAUGUAUAUACUUCGGGGAAGAAAGACUUCACAGAAUUAGUUCAGAGAAAUUAUUCAACAAAUAAUAAAACAGCAAUAACAAUAGUCUCCACAAAAAAAUAGAAAUCCUGAGAUACCACAAUAUAUUAUCCAAAAUAUCCAGUUUUCAACAACAACAACAACAAAAAGUGAGACACAUGAAGAAAAAAGAAAGUACGACCGACCUAUGUUCAGGAAAAAAAGUUAUGUCAAUACCAACUGAAUAUCUACUGAAGGAUUCAGUUGUUGGAAUCAGCAAACCCUUCAAAAUAGCUACUAAUACAGUGUUCAAACAAUUAAAUAAAACUUUUAAGGAAUUAGAGAACAAUACAAAAACAACAACUUAUCAAGCAGAGUAUGAAUAAGGAGGUAAACAUUAAAAUAACUAAGUGGCAAUACUUCAACAAGAGAGAGAAAUGAAUUACAGUAGAUGGGAUAGAGAGAGAAGAUGGGAGGGGAGGGAAGGGGGGUUAGUAGGGGAUAGGAAAGACAGCAAAAUACGACAGACACUAGUAUGGCAGUAUGUAUAAAUGUGAAUGUGUAUCCGAUGUGAUUCUGCAAUCUGUAUACGGGGUAAAAAUGGGAGUUCAUAACCCACUUGAAUCAAAUGUAUGAAAUAUGAUAUGUCAAGAGCUUUGUAAUGUUUUGAACAACUAAUUAAAAAAAGAAAAGUUAAAUAGCUAGGGUUAGGAAUCCCUAUAGUCACUUAACAGCAGAAAUCACAGAAGAAUCAGUAUUGAAGACAUAUCAACAGAAAUACUCAAGCUGAAGAAUAUAAAAAAGAAAAAGAAAAGUAAGAAGAGCCUCAGAGAUCCUCUCUGGGAGCGUCAAUCAAUCCUAUGGGCUACUAUUAAUCUUAUCAAUUGGAUAUUAUCAAUCCUACUGAUAAAUGCAUGUUGGAAGUCUCAGGAGAAGAGAGAGAAAAUCUCAGAUGUACAUCAAAUCAUAUGAAGAAAUAAUGGCUAAAUAAUUUCCAAAUUUGAUGAAAAAACGAUAGAUCCAAUAAACUCAAUGACUCCAAGUAGCAUAGAUACAAAUAAAGCCACACCUAGACACAUCAUUGUCAAACUGCUACCAUCAAAAGACAAAGAAAAUCUUGGAAAAAAAAAAAAAAGAGAAAAGUGACUCAUCAUAUUCAUGGCAACAACAACAUGAUUAACAGUUGACUUCUCAUUCAAAACAAAGGGGACCAGAAAGCACAGGGAUGACAUAUUCAAAAUCCUGAAAGACUAUAUGACUGUCAACUAAGAAUUCUAAAUCUAUUAAAAAUGAUCCUUCAGAUUGAAGGUGAAAUAAAGACAUUCCCAGGUAAACAAAAAAUAAGUACAUUUGUUGCUAUCCAACCUGUCUUACAAUAAAUACUGAAGGAAAUCCUUCAGGCUGAAAAGAAACUACUAAAUAGUAACUAGAAUCAACAUGAAGAGAAAAGAAGUAUUAUAAAAGAUAAAUAUGCAGGUAAAUACAGACUUGUAUAUUUUUUUUCUCUUUUCUCUUUGUAACUAGUUUAAAACAUAGAAGAUUGCAUAAGGCAAUACUUAUAAAACUGCACUAUUAUGCUUAUAGCAUAUAAAUAUGUAAUAUAUAUGAAAAUAUGAACAUAAAGGAGGGAGGAAGAAACAGGACUAUCUUGUAAUAAGUCUCUGUAUUCUGUAAGAACUAAUUUAGUACUAAUUUGAGGUAGAUUAAAAUGAGUUAAGAUCUGUUUUGCAAUCCUGAACAAACCACUUAGGAAACCCAACAUAUAUAUAAAAGCAAGAAAGAAAUUAAACAUUUACUACAGAACAAAGUAGUAAAGGAAGGAGAAAGGAAUGAAAGAGGCAGAAAUAAAAAAAUGACAGAUAUCAAAUCAUAUCAAUAAUUUCAUUCAGUAUGAGUAGAUUAAACAUUCCAAUAAAAGGCACAGCUUAUCAGACUGGAUAAAAAUUCAAGUUUCAACUAUAUGCUACAAAUAGGAGACACACUUUUGAUUCAAAUCUAAAAUAGUUUGAAGUUGAAAAGACAAAAUAAUUGAAAUUAUAUACCACACAAACAAGAACUUAGGAGAAUUUGGAUAGGUCUCAUAUUUCUCAGAAAAAAAAAAAAAAGAUGAUUUCAAAAAAACCAGGCUGUUAGAAACAAGGAAGGGCAUUUUGUAAUAUAAAAGAGACAAUUCAUCAGGAAGAUAUUACACUGAUGAAUGUACUCCCACAUCUAACAACAGAUCUACAAAUGAGUGAACAAAAAACUGGAAGAACUUUAAAGAAGAAAAUAACUGCUCAACAAUAAUAACUGGAAAUGUUGACACUCCACCCUCAAUCAUUUGUAAUGUGGUGUUCUAUUAUGACAGAAAAUCAACAAAGCUACAGCAAAUUUAAAUAACUCUAUCAAUCAACUGGAACUAACAGCUAUCUGCAGAAUACUUCACUUGAGAUUAAAACACAUGAAACAUCCUCCAGGGUAGAAUAUCUAUUAGGCCAUAAAACAAGACUUAGUAUCUUUAAGAGGACUGAAAUCAUACCCAUUAUGAUCUCUUCUUACACAACACAAAUUAGAAAUCAACACAGAAGUAAAUUUAGAAAAUAAUUUUGGAAUUAACAUAUUUAAAAAUAAUUAUUGGGUCAAAAAGGAAAUUGUAUGAAACUUAGAAAAUAAACUGAAUGAAAAAUUAACAAAAUUGAUGAAUAUUUAACUAGACUGACCAAGAAAAAGGAAAGACACAACUUACCAAAAUCAGGAAUGAAAGGGAGAACACCAGAACUCACCUUGAAGAAAUUAAAGGGUUUACAAGAAAAUAUUAUCAAGAACAUUAGUAGCAGGCAUGGUGGUAAAUACCUGUAACCCCAGCAGCUCCGGAGGCUAAGGCAGACAUUUCUCAAGUUCAAAGCUGACUUCAGCAACUCAGUGAGGUCCAGUGAGACCCUGCCUCAAAGUAAAAUGUGAAGAGGGCUGGGGAUGUGGCUCAGUAAUUGAGUGCCCUGUGUUCGAUCCUUCGUUUAAAAAAAAAAUAGCUCAACAAACAGGACAAGUUAAAUGAAAUGAGCAAAUCUUAGAAAGACAGAAAUUACCAAAACUAAUUCACAAAGCAAUUAGAAUUAGACUUUUACAGGUAGAGACUGAUUUAGUAACUAAAACUCUUUCUACGUAGGAAAUCCCAGGCCCAGACUCCUUCGUUGGUGAAGUUUACAAAACAUGUAAGGAAAAAUUAAGUCUAAUUCUUCACAAAUUCUUCCAGAAAAUAGAGGUGGGAACACUUUUCAACUCAUUCUGUAAGGCCAAUAUUGCUCUGAUACUAAAGCCAGACAAACAUAUUACAAGAAAAGAGAUCUAUAAAAAACAAAAACAAAACAAAAAACAAUAUUUCUUGAAAACACAGAUUGAAUGCUCUGAAACAUUGGCAAACCAUAUCCAGCUCAUAAAAAAUUUUAAGUUAUGAGCAAGUGGUAUUUGUCCUAGGCAACAAGGUUGGUAUAAUACCUGGAAGUAAUAUAAUAUACCAUCUAAAUAGAAUAAAGGACAAAAAAGAUCAUAUCAAUAAGCAGAAAAAAAAAAAUAUUUGGCAAGGGGCUGGGGAUAUAGCUCAGUUGGUAGCGUUCUUGCCUUGCAUGCACAAGGCCCUGGGUUUGAUCCCCAGCAAAUAUAUAUAUAUAUUUGGCAAAAUCCAGAACUCUGACCAAACAAGUGUGAAAUGAGUUGGGGUAUCUAGGAAUACAUACAGAAAAUCAAAGCCUGUAGUUAAAGUCAUAUUUCAUUGGGAAACAUUAUGCUGUCCCCUAAUAUUAGGAGCAAAGCAAGUUCUGCCUUUCCUUCUUUGUCCCAGUGUGCUAGAGGGUAUAUUGAGGGCAGUAAGGUGAGAUGGACAAGUGAAGGAACAAAUGAAUAAAUAAAAUUAAAGACACCGGAUUGAAAAGGAAGAAGUAAAACUGUAUUUCUUCAAAGGUAAAUGAUCUGUUGUGCAGCAUCCCCAAACAAACAAACAAGGACCAAGAAGCAAGUCCAAUAAUGUGGUAGGAUACCAGGUCACCAUACCAAAGUAAAUAAUGUACCUGUAGAUUAUUAGUGAACAAACAGAACAUGAGUUAGGAAAAUAGUUAUAAAGAGUAAAAGAGUCUCCUCUUAGGAAAGAAUUGUCUUAGGAAAAAAAUUAAGACGUUCACGACUCAUACACUAAGAUUAUUAAAAUAUUGAUGAAAGAAUUGUAAGAAGCGUCAUGUAUUAGAAGAUUCAUUUAAAAAGCAGGUCUCUCCAAAUUAAUCUAUAAAUUCAACACAAUCCCUAUCAAAAUCUCAUAAGUGGAAGCUAAAGAGAAAAAAAAUGAAGAAAAAGAAUAAAAAAUAGAAGAGAUUCUAGUAGAGUAGAAGAAGAGAACCCCAGGGAAGGAGGCCAGGGUAAGGGGAGGUACUAGGGGGAAAAAACUGACCAAAUUAUAUUGUUAUAUU